GCACAGACGGGUAUCAUUCGGUGGCUGACAUGUGGCCAAUCAGCACAAGUGCCAAAAACGCAGCCAAGACCAAAGUACACACACCGAGCCAUGUAGGAGCCCGAAAGAUUCUGCAUCAAGUUCUAUUUAACUAAAAGCUAAAAAGCACCGACAGAAGCCAGUCAGCGAGCUCCCACAAAUGCAGCAGCUACCGUCGUCUUUGCCCAAGACCCUAUUUGCUGCCGCUGCUCACAAACGAAUUUGUCUUGGCCGCACCCGAAUAGGAAAAGACACAGGAUCAGAAACUAAUCGUUACUUAGAUAUGGUAAUGUUAGCACAUUGAAUUAUUUUACACGAAGCCCAAAUUUUUUAUUUUUAAAACGGCAAAUUCCAAAAAUGUUGGUUUAAAUUUGUAAGAUAAAAGUUUAAAACAUACUUUGAAGCGUUUGAAGCGUACAAUUUAAAAGCUUACGGUCAUGAAGGCUCUAACAUGUAUCGAUAAGUUUCUGCAACGAGGGCAGAGUAACAGUGUUGUAAAGUGGAUAUUAUACCACCUCGACAAAAAUGCGGAUUUGCAUUGGAAGCUCAAGGGACGAAUAAAUUAAAAAUAAUAAUUAUCCACCUGGAGGCAACUGUGGAAACAAGGAUCAUUCAUUCACUGUAACUACUAGGAAUUUCACAGGCCAGGAAAUGCUGUGAUAACAACUGGAAUCGUCCAAUAAGUUCCUUUAGCAGAACAUAAAAAAGCUCUCCGGAUUAGAAGCCCUUCAAAAUAUGGGUAACCAUUGCUAUUCUUGAAAACGCAUUAACCUUAUUAGUUUACAGAAACGUCCGCAAUUCACUACUGUCUAAUUAUGAGAAAGAAAGCAUAACCUUCAGAAACAAGUUCCUAAAGCAGAGCAUACGAAAGCUUCCCCGAAUGAAAGGCUGAUAAUAAUGGUAAAGUUCUUAUAAUUGGAAACACAUUAACCUUCUUUAUUUACAGGAAACGGAAACGUGCAUACGACAUGGAUAUAUUGCCCAAUUCUGAGAAUGAAAGUGUAACCUUCAGGAUUACCCACUACAACCUAAUUUUCACCAAAAAUCCAGUGUACUGUGGAUACACAGAUGCGUUUAAUGACUAGAAUGCACUACUGUUCCAACGAAUGCAACAAAUUGCCACAAGAACCACUAAAAUAAUAUGUGAUUCUCUGCAAAAUUUUCUGUCAGGUAUAUUGCUAAUUUUUGGUCAUAUAUUACUGAUACUAGUUUUUUUAAAUAUAAAGAAGAGGAUUUUAUUUUUAUUAA